ACUCCAGCGAUAUAAGUAUUUUAAAGUGGAGCAACUCAUCCGGGAUCUUAAGCAAUUUCCGGCACAGGAGACAGAAAGGGGUAACCUAUUUUGUUCGUAUUAGGUCCAUAAUAUGCAUGUACUAUAUGCACAGUAAGAAUGUAUGGUUGUCUAUUGAGCUGUGUAGGAAAUUGUAGUCCAAAAUCAUAUGAACUGUAGGAAUGUCUUGGAUAUUCCAUGACCAGUGUAUUUUAUGUAUUUGGCAGGGCCUACACCAAAAUGUUUAGGAACGCCUGUAAAAGUAAGUUGCUGACAGUUUAUUUUGCUGACAGAUGUUUUCUUGCUGUGUAGUACCGCAUGAAGGCAAUGUACUGUUCAUACUUCAUUUCUCAAUUCAUAUUUUCCUGUGGGAUUAUUCAGUUGACGAUUGCUUUACACUUUUAACUGUAGGCCCAAUGUGUGGAACAGGAAGUAGACUGUCUGAACGAAGUUUUCCUGAAACUUAGUAUUGAACUCCAGAAAAGGACUCAGAAGAAGAUGUGUCUAGAGCCAACGCUGCAAAGCUCUGACACGCCCUUAAAGAGUGCAGAUACAGAGGCCGCCCUGAGUCGUGAGGACACAGUGGUUUUAGAGCUGAAGAGACGAUGCGUAUCCCAGAGGCUUGAUGAACUGCAAAUCAUUUUAGCCGGAAUGGGCUGGCGCCAGCUAGACAGCCACAGGGCAGAGCCCAAGAAUUUGAGCAGUUCACACCCAGGGCCAGACAGUCAUAGAUCAUUCCAUAAGGAACACAUUCAUGCUCCAGACCCUGGGGGUGACCUAGACAGUGAGGGACCGAAGCAUCAAGCACUAGAAGACACCCAGAGCUGGUACAGUCGGGAUGUAGAUAACCAGGGGCCAAGUAGUCAGAUAGAUGGGUGAAACAUGUUACGAAGAUCCAGGCACCUCGGAACCCCAAGUAGGAUGUGAAUAUUGGGGAUAGCCGAUGAGUGGUUAUUGGUUUGAUUUGCCUUUUUGGGAUUUAAUAGAUCAAAUAUAAUGACCCAGGUCCAGUUUAGAGUAUAGUGUGGAUAAUCAAUGUAUAAUGGAUCAUCCCAUCAGAUUUUCAAUUACAUUUAUCUUAAUAAAUUCAUAAAUGUCUCUUGUGUGCUGUAGAUUUUAUUUUAUGAAAUGAUCAUGGAUCAUUUGAAUGUCACCUGGUGAAAAUAAUUGCCAGGUCAAUGGUCGGCAAUAGAUUGUAUUUUUUAGGCUCCAGCUACCUUCAUACUCUUAUUAAAACAUAAUUUUUUUAUUUUUUAAAUGCUUUGGCACCUGCUCCUCUUUUCAAACCAACAUCUUUGUACCACAGACUCUUUCGGACCUUUCAAGAGUAUUCAUGAAUAUUUUAUUACAGAAUGAUCUUCCUUUCAUUCAUGGUGAGUUCCCUCGAAGCGGAAACGAAAAUGUUUCUCGCUCCCAUCCCAUUGUGGGUAUAAGCUGUAUAACAUCUGCCGGAGUCAUUCACUGGGCACAGGAUGGAGGUCUGAAAAGGAGUGUUCCUACAGGGAGGACCAACUGUGAGCUGGUUGUAAGGGUCAGCCUGACCAGUCAGCAAUGGACAUUUUUAUCAGUGCCCACGCCUUGUGCCAAGUCUCUGGGUGUAGUUGCGGUAUUGCCGAGUAUGAAAGUUCCCUUGGCUGAUUCUGCCUGACAGCACCUAUCAUAUAGAUUAGAAAUAAUGUGUCAUUGAAUUUCAUAUCUCGUGCCACCUGCUAUCUGCCUACUUGUCAUUCCAAUAGAUACAAAAUGGCCCUGGUUCUCUCAGCUUGCGCUGGCACUCUCUUUCAGGGAACAGUUCUCAACAGGAGGGAUAAGCAGAAAAACCCCUUUGUGGCUUUAAGUAGUGCUUUUUCUCAUCAAGAGUUUGAAGAAGCAUGCGUCUUUCUCAUUUAAGGAAAUGCAACAUUAAAACUCCUGCAUUAUUUCUGCUCUACUUGCGUAAACAAUUGCAUCUGUUUUAUUUAUAGAGGGGAAAGCAGUGUGUGGUUUGUUCUCAGGUGGCAUAAUGUUUCCUUUUGGCAGCAGCUAGCAGAGGCCGCAUCUGUUCCUGUCCCAUCAAUGCUGUCUAUCAUACACGGACUGCUGCAAAACUGAGCCUGUUUUGAGCCACAAAUACAGUGUGUUUUGGAAAGGUUCUUGUGAAAAACCUUCAGCGUCCCCCAGACCAUCGUAAGUGUUGCUAAUUGCUGUGUUACAAAACUAAUAAUCUUUUAGUAACUCCUAACAUUUUACUGUGUUCC
rnacentral:lncRNA from 1 species